rnacentral:lncRNA from 1 species
UUCCCAUUUCAGGCUGAGACUUAUCCUGACUGUGCAGGAGGACGAAUAUAGAGGAUGUGGAAGGAGAAAAACUGAGCAAAAGAGGGAUAUUUGGCUUUCAUCCUUUUAGUUCUUCUUGGAGAGAUGCCUGUAGAGCAAGGAAGUGAGAUAGGUCUCUGAAAUUCAGACCACGAAAAAGAAGAACAAACAAAGAUGUGAAGGAAUGCCAGGCAUAAUUUUAAAAGAAGGAACUAUUGAGAAGAGAAGAGAAAAAUAAGACUCUGCUGGUGAUACCCAGGCAAACAGGAUCUGGAGUGAACCUCCAGCAAACUCCAGCAGACCUGCAACAGAGGGGCCUGACUGUUAGAAGGAAAACUAACAAACAGAAAGGAAUAGCAUCAACAUCAACAAAAAGGACAUCCACACAGAAACCCCAUCCAAAGGACACCAACAUCAAAGACCAAAGCCUCUAUGUCCCUGGCUUCUCUUAGGGAGAGGCAGAGAAAAAUGGAAGCACUCCAUGAAUAACAGACAUCCAUCUUGCUUGGACUAAGCAUCUACAACCUUGAGAAACUGGGCAAUGGACAGGAAAUGAAAAUAAACAUCUAUCCUCUGGCAGGACUUAUGUUUUCACAUUUCAGGUAAGAGAAGAAGGGUGAUGAGCCCAUGCAAGUGUACUACCAAUAACAGAAAGAGAGACUCACAAUUAAAAGUACAUCAAAUAAUGUUAAUCAGGAUUAUUUAAGUUUUAAAGUGUUUUUCUGCAAAAUUGUGCAUAUAAAUUUUAUAUAUUCUUAAAUUAACUGAUUCAUUUUUCUUUCUAAAUUUUUAUAUGCACUCUGUUGGUUCUGAUUUAAUUUGACAGGGCACUCAACAAUAUUUUAAUUAAAAAUUUUAAAUAAUGACGUUUUUGUAGAAAGGACUGUAUCAGAUAGGAUCUACACAAAGAUAUAAUACCUAAUAUGUGCUGAGAACUUAAUAAAUGCUCUGAAAAUAGUUAUAAUUGACAGAUAUAAAGACUAAGAAACCCUGCCCUCUGGGAACCCAAAAACAGAAACAGGCAAAAACACUAGCACAAGGACAUAGACUUAGGAAAAGAACACCGUAAGUAACUGCUGCCAAAAAAGAGAAAGUAAUUAUGGAUGAAACAAAUAUCUUCAGAAGGCAGGAUAAUACUGUGGAAAUCACAUUCUUCUGAAAGAGAAAAGACCUCUGUUCCAUUGCUAACACAUCCACUCAGUUGCUUUCUAGUCUUAGAAACUUCAUAGCACUCUCUGAAGCUCAAUUUCUUCAUCUGUCUGAUGAAACUACUAAGCUAGAUCUUUAAGAUCAUAUACAGCUGUAACUGUGACUCUGGCUUUCUGGAGACCUCUUGAGUAAGAGACAAGAACUACUGCAACAUACCUUUCCCAGUCCUGAAAAAUGAAAUGAUCUUUAUUUUAUUAAAUCCCUCCCAAAACCAACAAAGGUACAGGAAGCAAUGUGAAAGGUAUGUUCUUCUCAAAACUAGCAGUGCUCUCUGCCCCUUUUCAAUUCCAAGUUAAACUUACAUAAAUAAUGUCUGUGAAACCACUCAACUGUUACAAAAGCAUUGUCUCAUCCAUUUUAAAGAAAUCUUAAAAGUUAGGUUAGCUGACAUCAGAAUGAAUGAACCGCAUUACAAAGAUGAGAAAAUUGAUUCAGACUCAUCAAAGUCCUGUAGCUAAUACAUAGCAAAGUUGAAAACUGAGGCCAUAACAAAAUUGUAGCAGAAGUCUUUUCCUUGAAAUAGCUUUAUCUGGAAGGAGAGUGUUGAAUACUGCUUUCCCUUUCUCACCACACACACACACACACACAGAUUGUACUGUAGUCUAGUGUUGGUUCCACCAGCUGUGUGAACUUAAGAGGAGUCCCCAAACUCUGAUUCUCAAAUUUCUUAUCUUUAUAAUAAAGAUAUUAAAAGUAAUAAAAACUUCAUAAGGUUGCUGUGAGGACCAAAUGAGAGAAUAUAUGUAACAGUAUUUUCACCAAAUCUAGAACAAACAGAGCAUGUGAUAAAUGUCAACUUGCCUUACAUUAUUACAAGAUAAUUCUAAAUUUUGAUUAAUAAACUGAUACCAAAAUUGUGUUCUAUUUUUUCUUCCUGGAAACAUCAAAAGCAAUAUUGAUAGACACAAUGGAAUAAUGCUCCCAAAAAACAUAACUGAGUUUAUUUUUUCUUUGUUUUUGUCUACUUGUUUGCUAGUUUUUUGAGUGUGUGACCUCAACAUGAAACAUGAAGUUUAUUGUAAGGAAACAGAAGAAGAGAAAAGGGAGAAUAAUUAGUGUGUCUUGUUUCAUGGGCCUUUGUAAACUUACAUUUUAAUUCUGAAAGGCCAGUCAACAUUAAAGAAAAGAUUAGUUAGUUCAAUCAAAAUAUCUAGAUAAGUAAUGGCAUUUAGACUCAGCCAGUACUUUUAUUAAAAUUCUUACAGGUGAAAUUCAAAUACUACUUGUUCUUCAAAGCCUUCUCUAAAAUUAUUGGGUUUUUCCUCCAGAUUUUCAGGACAUUUUGUUUAUACUUAUUUUAUAAUGUUUAUAGGCUAUUUUAUAAUAUGAAUAGGUGUUUGAUUCUUCUCUGAGAAAAGGGCAAUGAUUUUAUUCAUAAUUAUAUCUAUAGUGCUUAGAUAGUAACAGAAAUCAUGAAAUCGUAAAACAUGAGAAUUGUUAGACAAUCUGCCCCAGUCUUUAGGAACUCAAUAAAUUGUUGAGAUUGAUGCCUAAAUAUGUAUGGCCUCCCUUCAAGAGCAAAACAGAACUCCGUGGAAAACCAAGUUACUUUCAGUCAGGCUUGGAGAGCCUCAAGGGAAGAAUAAUUUCUCUUAAAUUUUCUCUUCCUGAGAAAAUACAGAAAAAUCAGUUUCAAUAACUUCCCAUGAGUUAAAUGCUUAUUGCCUCACUGAUGAAAAUAUUUCUGAUACCAAUACCUAUAGAACAACAAUAAAGUAAUAAAACAGAAGUACUUACUAAGCACUCCUUAUUUAUGGGACAAAUCUCUUU